rnacentral:lncRNA from 13 species
UGUUAGAAAUCCCUAAAGCAACACUGUUUGACAGAGUUAUGCGGCCUUUCGAAGCACCUGGACACCUCAAAGGACUCUGCAGCUUAAAACGAUUUAUCUGAUGCUCCCACAGCUGACGGAGCUGCCGCAGCUGGCGUCACGUUAAGAGCUGCCACAGAGCCUCCUUGUUUUCUUGAUGUUUUAAUGUUAUAUUUCAGUGAUUGACCUUCCAGAGACACGAUCUCACUGAGGCUUAGAACAUUGAAUUAUAUCAAGACGCAGCUCCCCACACACACAUCAGUUUCCCUAAAAACCUGGAUAUGAGGCACUAGGUUCUCAGUGGCACAGCGUCUGCCUCAGCUGGAAAGAUGACUCCCAGCAAUGUUGUUUCCACGAUUCCUUCGCUGGCUGUGCACGCAGAUAUCUGGGGUUCUAUGAGCCUCUUUCUGAAGGCAAUCAGCCCAAGCAGCCGAGCGUGAACGCAUUUCUAGUCGUCUGUGCUGCUCGGGGCGUCUCAGAAGACACGCCAGUCUUUCUUCCCCCGAGUUUUAGUACUUUGAAGCACUUAGGGAUUUCAUUAGCAACGAACAAAUCAUUGUUCUGCAAGACCUAAAAAAAACGUGACCCAGAAAAGGACGUCGUCCUUAGGCAACCAGAUCUCUCUUGUUCCAACAACACAUGCUUGAUGUGGCUUUGCUUCCGUAGCAAGACAAACAAAGGAAGCGAGAAAGGGGCCUGGGGCCCACAGCCAGGAGGGGGCGGGGACGGGCCGCACCCAGAGCCCGUCCCCAGACGGCCGCCCCAGAGCCCGCGUGAGGCCAACACACCUGGGCUUCACACCAGAACCUGACAAUGGUCACUGCAAACUAGAGAACUGUGGAUCAACCUCCCGGAUAAAUCCAGGCACGAAAAGGAACACAGACAACAGAAAUAAAUCAGAAAAACGCUGUGACCGAGCACGAAAGCUAAGCAGGGCUGAUCCCAGAAAUUCAAGAAGGAUUGAUGUUCAGGAAUCUGUCCACAUUUAAAAGUCACCGCAAACAACUAAAGAAGGG